UCAGAUAAUAGUUUAAUUAGAAUAUUAAUUUUGGGGAUUAUAGGUAAAGUAAUUUUUAUCUGAG
rnacentral:tRNA from 1 species